rnacentral:lncRNA from 1 species
UUCAAAUGGGGCUCUGCGUGGCGUUAAAUUUGUUACUGUAUGUGCUUGCGCACAACUAAUAUAACUAAACCAUGUAUUUUCUUUUCAAUGUGAACAUGAAUUUAGCAUGUCUUUGCGCCAUUUGGCACCACGGGUUUUGAAGCACAUAUCGAAUAUUUUCAAGCACAUAACCAUAUUUUCAAUAUAGCAUGGUUUAACACAUGAGCUUUCUACUACCAAUAUCGAAUAUGUCCUUGCAAAAUGGAACUAUUUUCAUCGACAACAUGACUUUAGCGGGUCUCUGCGCCAUUUGGCGCAACGUGUCAACUAGUACUGUAUAAUCGACUACCUAGCUAAUGAUGAUUGCCUACCUUUAGGCUUUGCCUUUUACCUUCAGCUCACACCACGAUUACCUGCAAAAUAGUAGAUAUGCAUUUCAGUGCUAAGGCGAAGACAAAGAAAAGAAAAAUGAAAGAAGAAGAAGAAGAGAAAGAAAAGGAGAUAGCUACAAUCCAAGGAAGAAACGCCUAAUAGCCCACUCAAAGUGAAAUAAGAGGUAGAAAUGACUGACAGAAUCUGAGCUAAAACAAUCCAGAUCAGACCCACACAGUGCAGUCCCACACCCCAACCAAAUCAACUCACUCUUUACUUUUGUAAGCCACGCAAAAUCAUGUUCUAAAGGCGAACAAGUUACAGAAACAAACCUAUAGUUAAAUUCAGUGACUAAAACCUAUAGCCGAAAAAGGAAAUAAUCCUCAAUGCAAAGGUAAUAUCAUUUAUCUAUUGCCAUUCACCCUAUCCAUUUAAAAACAUUAGAUUGCAUAUGAUUUAUAAUCUGAACAUAACCAGUUUCCGGUCACAUGGGAUGAUCUUUUUAACUGAACUGAACUUCCAAAGCUAUGCCAACGAUUAAAUAUGACAUUAGUGUAAAAUAUGGUAACGGUGUGGUUUAUUUGGGUCAAAAAAGGCAAACCAAAAAUGUAGGAAGAGCUAAUUAAGGAUAUAUAUUUUGUCCCCUAACACUAAAAAUCGAGGAAUUUAGAGAACUUCACUUAUCACUGAUGCAAAAGUCAAGUAGGAUUACAAUCUAGAAGUCAUGGCACGAAACUGAAAAGCCAUCCAUACCAGGCAUAGGUGAGUUCAGGGCACUUGGCCACGGUCGGCAUAACAUUUUCCUCAGCGCAAGGAUACAAUUCUCCUGGUGUAGUAGCUACAUGAAGUGAAACUGUCCUGGCAAAACAAUGUCAAAUCUUAAGACCAAAUGUAAUGAAAAAUGUAAAUAUACAUUGCAAAACUGGUCUGCCUUUUUAGAUACUAAAAAAAUUUGAUAGCAUGUCAGGCCACUAUAAGACUAAUAAAAAGUACCCUUUUCAUUCACAUCCAUAUCGUUCUUGGGGUUUCACUGCAGCAAGAUUUAUCCAAAAAUCAGUGAUAGAAAGGAACUGACAUUAUGGUGCAUCAUGCAUCAUAAUGGCUACCAGAACCAUGUCAAUGCAUUGCCAAGAAUUACAUAGAACUCAAUUCAUGGAAAGGGCAUACAAGCUCAACAUGUCAAUACUGUGAAACAUGGAAGUCAGAACAAAUUAUAGCACUAAAACAAUCUGUAAUUACACAUCACGAUGGUAUAGUUGUUAUUGCAUAAGUUGAGAUAAUCACUAUAGAGAGCCUAACUGAAACUGAAAAUAACUGGAGAAUUUAGUAAACAACACAACACUGCAGAGUAUCCAAAUAAUGAUAAAUUUCAAGUGUAAGGAUCUUAACCUAGUACUCAUUUUUAACCAGAGGAAUACCCCAUAUACAUAUUUUACAAAAUAACAAAGAGCACAUGAGUACCUUAACUUCCAAAAGAUCCCAAUAUUUGGAACCUAGCUAAACCCUUCUCUCUCUCCCAUCGAAUCCAAGCAAGGCAGCAUAAAGGCCACAGAAAAGUGGCCAUCUUUGGAACCUAGCCAGACCAUCGACCCAAAAAAAUCCUAAUACUUGGAAUCUAGCCAAACCUGAGUGCACAAAAGGCUCUGUGGCCAUCUUUGGAACCUAGCCAGACCUGAGAGAAAUCCUAAUACUUGGAACCUAGCCAAACCUGAGAGCACAAAAGGCCCCCAUCUUUGGAAUAUGGUCCGAAUCCAACAGCAUCUACAGAUAGAGAAGACAAAUAACCUACAAGCCCAGGCCUACAAACAAACAUGAACAGAUAAAGUAGAGAGAGGCCUACGAACAAACAAGAUCAGAGAGGGAGAGGUGGUGAGGAGUGGAGGCACCAAAUCAAAACAUGGAGGAAACGAAGUGUAAACGGCAGCUCGGAUCUAUGGCUUGGCGUCGCCAGAAGCCGCGACGGUCCCCCUGCCAAGCGGUCCCCUGAGGCCCUGCCACCGCAUCCGAUGCUGACGACGCCGUUGCGGCUGCCCGAACAUGGGCCUCCAGGCCAGCAGCAUUGCGGCGCGGCGCAACACCGGCGGGAGGGCUCGCUCCGCGAUGAGGAGGGAUCCGCCGUUGCCACCGCUCAGGAGCACGGGUCUGCGCCAAGGUCCAGGCCUCCUCAUCGAGUGGCCGUGGUCCUGGUGGCGCCGUCAUCGGCCACGGCGAGUGGGACGGGCAGGGCAGGGCAGCGCGGAAGGACGGGCAGGUCGGCGGGGCGAGCGGCUGGGAAGGGGAGAGAGCGACAAUGAAGGACGCGGAUGGGGAGGCGGCUAGGGUUCUACCACCGGGUUGCACAGGGCUGCUAAGAUUUAUACCCAAAAGUGAAAUGACUAAAAUGCCCUUGGUGGGGCACCGAAUUCACACGUGUGGCACGAGAUAUUUCAUCGCGGGAGUAACUAUUCGUUGCUACAGGAGCUCGAGUUCGAUCCAGCGGCCGACGUCCUCAAGCGCCUUGAUCCAACGGCCGGAAACGCAUCAAGUUAACACAAUGGAUGGCCAGAUCUUCCAAACCGCUGAGAGCGCUUGUAGUCUACUUCGGGUCUUGUUUAUGGAUAGACGUAAAGUUUGCUGACAUGGCACCGUAUUUGCCUAGCAUAGCAUGGGGGUCCACUUGUAGAAAUAAAACAGGAUUUCAGUUGAAUAUAUAUCCCUAGGACUAGUGAGCCCCGCAUGUCAGUUCGUAAGGAAAGUUGAGAACAAUUGAAAGGAAAAUUUGGUGCGGACAGGGUCGAAUGUGCACCUAAGAGUGCGUGCGAGCUGAACAGAGCUAAGCGGUGGAUACUAAGUCAUGUGCAGUGCGUCAAGCAGGCAAAAUGAGGGGGGAUGGUGAUGGGCUCACCAUGCGGGCCGAGGCUCAACGCGGUGGAGAGGCAGGUCGGUCUGGCGAGCGAGCUGGGGUAGGCUGGGCCUUGAGGAGGCACGGGGCCUAGGCGGCGAACGCGAGCAACGGCUCGGUUGGAUCCAAGCAGAGGAGGCAGCGGGAUGCAGGGGAACUUGGCGCGACAACGCGAUGGAAAGGACGUGGUGGACGAGGGUCGGCUUCUUGGCGACUCCGUCGAGGCAAAGAGGCAUGGGACGAACAUGGGGAAGAUGGAUCCGUCCUUUUCCGACCGGAUCGGGUGCAAAACAACACCGAAGAAGCUCCUUCAGGCGGCCAUGGCGGGCUCCUGGUUCCCUGGGGAAGACGACGACGCGAGAGCGAGGUGAGAGAGGUCCCUGGGAGGAGGGGGAAGAUGAGGUAGGACGGCGACCUGGCGGCGUGCUCUGGCGAGGCGGCUCGUUGGCGACGAGGCGAGGAGGAGGUACGGCGAGGUCGCGGAGCUCGGGAUCGAGCUCUUCUCGAUCUGGAUCGAGGAGGGAGCGGGAGACGCUCGUCUGUGGGGCUCGGGCGCUGGGCGCGUGGAGCUCGGGGCAUGUUGGAUCUCACUGUCCGAGGAUGGAGAAGGCAACUAAGGCUGGAUUGCAUCUGGCUGGUGGUUGGCGCGGAUGGGGAUCAAGAGGUGGCGGUUGUGGUUGGUGGAGGGAGCUGCGGGAUCGACUGGAUGUAUGGAUCAGGCAGGAUCCCGAGGAAGCGGGAGACCAGGUGGUUGUGUGGUGGCGGGAUGGAAUGGAUGGAUGCGACAUGCUAGUCUAGGGUUACCCGGUAUAUAGCAAGUGGACUAGGUUCAAGGCUAACUGGAUCUUCGAUUUAGAUCGAACGAUCGAGAUAAAAAGGUAGGGGAGUCUAAUGAAGAAACGAAAGAUGUUUAGGGAUGUUCAGGGUUGACCCGGACCCACCGGUCACGAUUGCCCAGUUCGGAUCCAGGGAAAAUUUUCGAGCUAGGGCUAGGUUGCGAGUGGGGCUGUGAGAGGCUUAGUUUUAAGAUGGCAACGAUGUGCCAAUGCAAUGCAAAUGAUGCCAUGAUGAAUGCAACAAGCAAAAUAAUUAGGGAGGCUAGGACAAAGUCGGGGGAGGAUUGGGACAUUUCCAUUUUUCUUUGUC